UUAACUGAAGCCAAACUAGAGGCAUCUUAAUGUUAAUAAGAAUAAUGAUAAAUUUAUUAUCCAGUUAAA
rnacentral:tRNA from 1 species